CGCGUAGGUGGCCCAGGAAGUCGGCGGUGAAAGCCCGGCGCUCAACGCCGGGUCGGCCGUCGAUACUCUUGGGCUCGAGCUCACUAGAGGCAGAUGGAAUUCCGGGUGUAGCGGUGGAAUGCGUAGAGAUCCGGAAGAACACCGGUGGCGAAGGCGGUCUGCUGGGGUGAUGCUGACACUGAUGCGCGACAGCGUGGGGAGCAAACA
rnacentral:rRNA from 1 species